rnacentral:tRNA from 2 species
GCGCAUGUGGCGGAAUUGGUAGACGCGCUAGGUUGAGGGCCUAGUGACUAAAUAUUGUCGUGGAAGUUCGAGUCUUCUCAUGCGCA